rnacentral:rRNA from 1 species
UACAUAUGGGGCAAGCGUUGUUCGGAAUUACUGGGCAUAAAGGGUGCGUAGGCGGUUUGAUAAGUCUGUGGUGAAAGUCUUCGGCCCAACCGAAGAAUUGCCGUGGAAACUGUUAGACUUGAGUGUGUAAGGGAUAGGGGGAACGAGCAGUGUAGCGGUGAAAUGCGUAGAUAUUGCUCGGAAGGCCAGAGCCGAAGGGGCCCUAUUGGUACACAACUGACGCUGAGGCACGAAAGCGUGGGGAGCAAACAGG